GGCAGAGUGGGCAGUACUCCCUGUAGAUCCGGCCAUGAUGCUGGUUUCCUGUGGACCUCAUCCUAUGCUUCAUGGGAAGCCAAUUCAGAAGAACCUGCUGUGAUUCAGAGAGAGAAGAGCAGCUCAAUAACCCUGGAGGGAGGAGACAGUUUGCCUCUCUGCAAAAUUCACAGACUCCUCAUACCUUAAGGCACCAGACCAAGAGGCAGCGAAGAACAGCUGCACCCUCCCCAGAGAGGCCCUGAGCUCAGAAGCAGGCAUGAACCUGGAGCUUAAAUGAAAGCAACUGGAAACCUCAGAUCUGCCAGAAACAUUUCCAAGGGUCUCAUUUCCUCAGCAUUUGUGCAUCUGGAAAAAGCAUCUAGCGCAAUUCUCACAGAAGUCCUGGAGGAUACAGUCUAUGCAGUGAGUCUGAAUUGUACACCAGCCAGGAACAAGGGCACCUGAGGUCACUCAGUCUGUAGAGUGACAGUUUGAGGAUGUAGCUGAGGUUCCACAGUGGUGUCUGUGUAAGCCUGGCCGUGUGUGGGAGUCCUACAGGAACAAGCAGAACCGGAAGAAAACAAAGAAAGGAACACUACAUUCUGUGACAUGUCAGGGUGUCAGAGCAUGCCAGCGUGGUCAUUCUGCUUCCUGUGACGGACCUAUGUGGUGUAGUGCCUGAGAAAGGACACCUCCCUACACCAGGGUUCUUGCUCCCUGUCACAGCUCAGAUAUAUACAACUGGCUCUAAUUAAAUGAGCAAGGCUCUUAUGGAA